GGGCCCGCACAAGCGGUGGAGCAUGUGGUUUAAUUCGAUGAUACGCGAGGAACCUUACCAGGGCUUAAAUGUAGUGGGACAGGUCUAGAGAUAGACCCUUCUUCGGACUCAUUACAAGGUGCUGCAUGGUUGUCGUCAGCUCGUGCCGUGAGGUGUCAGGUUAAGUCCUAUAACGAGCGCAACCCCUGUUGUUAGUUGCCAGCGAGUCAUGUCGGGAACUCUAACAAGACUGCCAGUGCAAACUGUGAGGAAGGUGGGGAUGACGUCAAAUCAUCACGGCCCUUACGUCCUGGGCUACACACGUGCUACAAUGGCCGGUACAGAGAGCAGCCACUUCGCAAGAAGGAGCGAAUCUAUUAAAACCGGUCUCAGUUCGGAUCGGAGUCUGCAACUCGACUCCGUGAAGCUGGAAUC
rnacentral:rRNA from 1 species